rnacentral:rRNA from 1 species
UACGUAGGGUGCAAGCGUUGUCCGGAAUUAUUGGGCGUAAAGAGCUUGUAGGCGGUUUGUCGCGUCUGCUGUGAAAUUUCGGGGCUCAACCCCGAACUUGCAGUGGGUACGGGCAGACUAGAGUGUGGUAGGGGAGACUGGAAUUCCUGGUGUAGCGGUGAAAUGCGUAGAUAUCUGGAGGAACACCGGUGGCGAAGGCGGCAUCCUGGACCAUAACUGACGCUGAUCCGCGAAAGCUAGGGGAGCAAACAGG